rnacentral:rRNA from 1 species
GAUGAACGCUGGCGGCGUGCCUAAUACAUGCAAGUCGAGCGAACAGAUGAGUAGCUUGCUCCUCUGACGUUAGCGGCGGACGGGUGAGUAACACUUGGAUAACCUACCUAUAAGACUGUGAUAACUUCGGGAAACCGGAGCUAAUACCGGAUAAUAUAUUGAACCGCAUGGUUCAAUAGUUAAAGACGGUUUUGCUGUCACUUAUAGAUGGCUCCGCGCCGAAUUAGCUAGUUGGUAAGGUAACGGCUUACCAAGGCAACGAUGCGUAGCCGACCUGAGAGGGUGAUCGGCCACACUGGAAGUGAGACACGGUCCAGACUCCUACGGGAGGCAGCAGUAGGGAAUCUUCCGCAAUGGGCGAAAGCCUGACGGAGCAAAGCCGCGUGAGUGAUGAAGGUCUUCGGAUCGUAAAACUCUGUUAUUAGGGAAGAACAAAUGUGUAAGUAACUAUGCACGUCUUGACGGUACCUAAUCAGAAAGCCACGGCUAACUACGUG